rnacentral:tRNA from 1 species
GCGGGAAUAGCUCAGUUGGUAGAGCACGACCUUGCCAAGGUCGGGGUCGCGAGUUAAAGACUCGAUUCCCGAG